UCUUCUGCUGUCAUCUCCUCCAUGCAACUCAAGGUUCAGAUACCUUGGCUGACAAGCUUACCCAUGAGAUGGACCAAAGCCUCUUGCCUGAAAUUCCCGAGGAAGAAUUUCGUAUUUGUACAGUUUUAAUAACAAGCCAUCAAGGAGAAGCCGUGAACUGUGGAUGAGCCUCCUGUGGAAGGGAAAAUUGUCCCAGCCUGACCUGCAAUAGCUCCAUGAGCUCAGUGGAGCUCCUCAAGACUCACUGAGAUGCCACGUCCCAGACCUUGAAUGCCGCAGUUGGAAGACACCCCUCAUGGUUUAGGGGUGCUGCCACAAAUGGCUGCAUUAUCAAAAAAGUCCUCAUUGCAGCAAAUUUUACAAGGAAAAGCAGAGUCAACAUGUGACACUUGUAGUGGGGUCAGAAAGAAGGACUUGCAGCGUUCUUUUACAAAUAAAGUAAUUUUAAAAUGUUGAAAUGUAUCUAAAAUAAAAAAGGCCACUAUGUAGAACUGGCCCAAGCCAA